CUCUAAUUGACGAGUCCCAAAUAGGACGAAACGCGCGUCGUGGAU
rfam:Schistosoma rodhaini strain Burundi genome assembly, scaffold: SROB_scaffold0001175